ACAAUACACUUUCUAUUAGCAAUCUGUUCAUUUUUAUCACCGUCAACAAAGAUAUUUCUAAACCCAUCGCCAUCGCCCCGAGGCCAACAACUCUGCCUGUCUUUCAAGCUCCGGUAAGCCAGCCGUCAGGUUUUUCAAGGCUCGCUCCGUACAAAGGUGUCUAAACAGUUAAUGCCUCCCUUGUGUUUAAAUUGUUUUCAAAGGUGUGUUCUGUUUGAAUAGCUAUACCUGGAAAAAGAGAGAAAAUCAGCACUGAAGCGGUGGACACCGCAAGAUGUGGUCGCCAUAGUCCCCCCUCUCAUCCGAAAAUUCACCAUGAAGCUGAACCAAUUCAUCGGGCGUUGCCCAGGAAUAUUUUAUAUUGCGGCGAUCUUUGACCUGGCGGGUAUAAUUCUGCUGCUUAUCGGAAUUUUCGCCAACUUGGCCAUCUGGGAUUUCCUCAUCUACACGGGGGCGAUCGUCAUCGCCUUGAGCUUGAUUUUUUGGGUCUUGUGGUACACCUUCAACGUUAAGGUCUCCUUCAAGGAGAUGGAACUGGUUUUGUAGACUGAGAAGUCGUCUGGCUGGACUUAGAUCUCGAGAUACAUCAGAAAUAAAUUUAAGUUUUUAUUUUCACAUUGAGUUCUACAUUUCUCCGAGCUUCAUGUGACAACUGCAAUGAGGUGGUACCAGGUGGAAAGGCAAGAGACGGGACGCAACUGUGCACCCAGAACCCAAGGAAGGAGCACACGCACUUUUUAUACACCUGAACAUCUUCUGCACCUCCCAGAGGUCAGGAAAUUCCAUGAAUGAGGCUCGGAAGUUCUUCAAGCAAGAAAGGAAGGAAGACGUUGUGGAAUUCUCGAGGCUCCCAUAGAUCUGCAUUGAUGGCUUCUGCGGGACUUUAAAAAAAAAAAAAAAUAGAAUGAUAAAAAAUAAAAAAAACUGCCGGGAUAUGAAGGAGGACCCAAUAGAGGACUUUGCUGUGAUUUAAUGUUCAACUGGUUUUCAAGAUUUCAAGAUGGCCGAGGAAUCUGCGGCCCGUGCGAAGGAUUCCGCUGAGAGUGGAUGUUUACAGUUCCAGAUGGACUUUUCUACCUCCGCUUGUGAAAUGUGAAGGACUUUCAGUGAUAUAAAUAACGUGACUUAAAAAAAAUAUAUAUAUAUUUGAAUGAAGUAGUGGGGGGGGGGAGG